CGGGGUGUGGCGCAGCCCGGUAGCGCGCCGCCUUUGGGAGGCGGAAGCCGCGGGUUCGAAUCCCGCCACCCCGA
rnacentral:tRNA from 2 species